rnacentral:rRNA from 1 species
GACUUUUUGAGGAACCAUAGUAACUUGAUACGAAGCGACCGAAAGGAUGCUGCAUCAUUCAAGUUUCUGCCCUAUCAGCUUGCUGGUAGUGUAUUGGACUACCAUGGCGUUUACGGGUAACGGAGAAUUAGGGUUCGAUUCCGGAGAGGGCGCAUGAGAAACGGCGACCAUUUUUACGAAAGGCAGAAGGCGCGUAAAUUACCCAAUCCUGACUCAGGGAGGUAGUUAAUGGACAUAACAAACUCGGCCCUUUGGGUUCUGAGCUUCGUAAUGAUCUCGACCUAAAACAUCAAGAGAAAUCUAUUCAUGAGCAAGUGAAUGCCAGCCGUCGCGGUAAUUUUCACAUGAAUAGCGUAAAUCAUAGUUGCUGCAAUUAAAAAGCUCGUAGUUGAAUUUCCGGUACGAUUGAGUAUUAACUCUGACAGCAAUGACAGUAGUUUAUUUCCGUACCUGCUCGAAAGGACCCUUUGAUACAGCUAUGUUUUGAAGGAAUCCACGAGCCUUUACUGUGACUAAAUUGGGGUGCUCAAGACAGGCUUUAGGCUUGACUAUGACAGCAUGGAAUAAUAAAAAAGGACUUUGUUCAUUUUAUUGGUUUAUUGAACGAGGUAAUGAUUAACAGAAGCAGUUGGGGGCAUCUGUAUUUGGUAGUCAGAGGUGAAAUUCUUAGAUUUACCAAAGACAGACUAAAGCGAAAGCAUUUGCCAAGGAUGUUUUCAUUAAUCAAGAACGAAAGUUAGGGGAUAAAAGACGAUCAGAUACCGUCGUAUUCCUAACUAUAAACUAUACCAACUAGAGAUCGGUAAGGAGUAAGAAUAAUCUUUAUCGGGAUCUAAUGAGAAAUCAAAGUCUUCGGGUUUUGGGGGUAGUAUGGUCGCAAGGCUGAAAUUUAAAGGAAUUGACGGAAGGGCACACCAGGAGUGGAUUCUGCGGCUUAAUUUGAUUCAACACGGGAAAACUUACCAAGGCAUAAAAUCGAGAGGAUUGACAGCUUGAUAGCACUUUCUUGAUCCGAUAGCAAGUGAUGCAUGGCCGUUCUUAGUUGGUGGAGUGAUCUGUCAGGUUAAUUCCCUAAACGAACGAGACCCCGGCCUACUAAAUAAAAACAGUUAUCUAAUAGCUGAUUUUUACUUAGAGGGACUACUGGAGCAAUUCAGUGGAAGUGCGGGGCAAUAACAGGUCCGUAAUGUCCUUUGAGGUCUUGGGCGGCACGCGUAAUACAAUGAUGCAUGCAAUAAGAAUAUUAUUAUGUCCUAACCUGAAAAGGUAUGGUAAUCUUUAUAAUGUGCAUCUUGCUUGGGAUAGAACAUUGCAAUUAUUGUUCUUGAACGAGGAAUUCCUAGUAAGCGUGAGUCAUCAACUCACGCUGAAUACGUAAUUGCCCUUUGUACACACCGCCCGCCGCUUCUACCGAUUGAGUUGUAUGGCGAGUUCUUUGGAUCGUUGUCUGGUUCAUACCGGAUGAUGAAAAGUCGUGCAAGCCAUACUACUUAGAGGAAGGAUAAGGCGUAACAAGGUU